rnacentral:piRNA from 1 species
UAUCCUCAAUGUCCCUGUCUGACAGAC